rnacentral:rRNA from 1 species
AUUGAACGCUGGCGGCAGGCUUAACACAUGCAAGUCGAACGAUGAAACUCUAGCUUGCUAGAGAAGAUUAGUGGCGGACGGGUGAGUAACAUUUAGGAAUCUGCCUAGUAGUGGGGGAUAGCUCGGGGAAACUCGAAUUAAUACCGCAUACGACCUACGGGUGAAAGGGGGCGCAGGCUCUUGCUAUUAGAUGAGCCUAAAUCAGAUUAGCUAGUUGGUGGGGUAAAGGCCCACCAAGGCGACGAUCUGUAACUGGUCUGAGAGGAUGACCAGUCACACCGGAACUGAGACACGGUCCGGACUCCUACGGGAGGCAGCAGUGGGGAAUAUUGGACAAUGGGGGCAACCCUGAUCCAGCCAUGCCGCGUGUGUGAAGAAGGCCUUUUGGUUGUAAAGCACUUUAAGCAGGGAGGAGAGGCUAAUGGUUAAUACCCAUUAGAUUAGACGUUACCUGCAGAAUAAGCACCGGCUAACUCUGUGCCAGCAGCCGCGGUAAUACAGAGGGUGCGAGCGUCAAUCGGAAUUACUGGGCGUAAAGCGAGUGUAGGUGGCUCAUUAAGUCACAUGUGAAAUCCCCGGGCUUAACCUGGGAACUGCAUGUGAUACUGGUGGUGCUAGAAUAUGUGAGAGGGAAGUAGAAUUCCAGGUGUAGCGGUGAAAUGCGUAGAGAUCUGGAGGAAUACCGAUGGCGAAGGCAGCUUCCUGGCAUAAUAUUGACACUGAGAUUCGAAAGCGUGGGUAGCAAACAGGAUUAGAUACCCUGGUAGUCCACGCCGUAAACGAUGUCUACUAGCCGUUGGGGUCCUUGAGACUUUAGUGGCGCAGUUAACGCGAUAAGUAGACCGCCUGGGGAGUACGGCCGCAAGGUUAAAACUCAAAUGAAUUGACGGGGGCCCGCACAAGCGGUGGAGCAUGUGGUUUAAUUCGAUGCAACGCGAAGAACCUUACCUGGUCUUGACAUAGUGAGAAUCCUGCAGAGAUGCGGGAGUGCCUUCGGGAAUUCACAUACAGGUGCUGCAUGGCUGUCGUCAGCUCGUGUCGUGAGAUGUUGGGUUAAGUCCCGCAACGAGCGCAACCCUUUUCCUUACUUGCCAGCGGGUUAGGCCGGGAACUUUAAGGAUACUGCCAGUGACAAACUGGAGGAAGGCGGGGACGACGUCAAGUCAUCAUGGCCCUUACGACCAGGGCUACACACGUGCUACAAUGGUAGGUACAGAGGGUUGCUACACAGCGAUGUGAUGCUAAUCUCAAAAAGCCUAUCGUAGUCCGGAUUGGAGUCUGCAACUCGACUCCAUGAAGUCGGAAUCGCUAGUAAUCGCAGAUCAGAAUGCUGCGGUGAAUACGUUCCCGGGCCU